GAUGGACGCUGGCGGCGUGCUUAACACAUGCAAGUCGAACGGGAAACCUUUUAUUGAAGCUUCGGCAGAUUUAGCUGGUUUCUAGUGGCGGACGGGUGGGUAACGCGUGGGUAACCUGCCUUAUACAGGGGGAUAACAGUCAGAAAUGGCUGCUAAUACCGCAUAAGCGCACAGAGCUGCAUGGCUCAGUGUGAAAAACUCCGGUGGUAUAAGAUGGACCCGCGUUGGAUUAGCUGGUUGGUGGGGUAACGGCCCACCAAGGCGACGAUCCAUAGCCGGCCUGAGAGGGUGAACGGCCACAUUGGGACUGAGACACGGCCCAGACUCCUACGGGAGGCAGCAGUGGGGAAUAUUGCACAAUGGGGGAAACCCUGAUGCAGCGACGCCGCGUGAAGGAAGAAGUAUCUCGGUAUGUAAACUUCUAUCAGCAGGGAAGAUAGUGACGGUACCUGACUAAGAAGCCCCGGCUAACUACGUGCCAGCAGCCGCGGUAAUACGUAGGGGGCAAGCGUUAUCCGGAUUUACUGGGUGUAAAGGGAGCGUAGACGGUGUGGCAAGUCUGAUGUGAAAGGCAUGGGCUCAACCUGUGGACUGCAUUGGAAACUGUCAUACUUGAGUGCCGGAGGGGUAAGCGGAAUUCCUAGUGUAGCGGUGAAAUGCGUAGAUAUUAGGAGGAACACCAGUGGCGAAGGCGGCUUACUGGACGGUAACUGACGU
rnacentral:rRNA from 1 species